rnacentral:rRNA from 1 species
ACGGGAGGCAGCAGUAGGGAAUCUUCGGCAAUGGACGAAAGUCUGACCGAGCAACGCCGCGUGAGUGAAGAAGGUUUUCGGAUCGUAAAACUCUGUUGUUAGAGAAGAACGACGAGGAGAGUGGAAAGCUCCUCGUGUGACGGUAUCUAACCAGAAAGGGACGGCUAACUACGUGCCAGCAGCCGCGGUAAUACGUAGGUCCCGAGCGUUGUCCGGAUUUAUUGGGCGUAAAGCGAGCGCAGGUGGUUUAUUAAGUCUGGUGUAAAAGGCAGUGGCUCAACCAUUGUAUGCAUUGGAAACUGGUAGACUUGAGUGCAGGAGAGGAGAGUGGAAUUCCAUGUGUAGCGGUGAAAUGCGUAGAUAUAUGGAGGAACACCGGUGGCGAAAGCGGCUCUCUGGCCUGUAACUGACACUGAGGCUCGAAAGCGUGGGGAGCAAACAGGAUUAGAUACCCUGGUA